CCACCUUGGGUCCCCCACCACCUAAAUCCCUGGGGAGCCGCUUUCUGCUGCCCCAUUCUGGUGUUUUCCAGCGGCGGAUUCCCAGAGCACGCCCGGAGCGGGGCUGCAGGCCGGCGUUGUUAGCCCCUCCUUUCUCCACCAGCUUCCGCACAGAUCCUUCUGAUUUCAUCACUCUUGACUCUCCGAGGACUGCAAACGCAGUGCAAUAGCCCCGAGCUGCUACCAGAGGUCGCUUAACGUGAGCCAGCUUCCUGAACGUCAUGUGUGUGACCGGAGCCACCAACGCCGGCGGGAGUUUUGAUCUGAUUUAUGAGCUCUACUUUAGAGGCAAAAGAUCCUUUUGGUGAAGAUGCAGCCCCCCAUCCGGUGGGACAACCAGUUUGAGAGGCCUUGACGUGACAUGUGGCAGCUAGAACUUGAGCUCUGAAGGUUCCACUUGCUGCUCUGCAUCGGUGAUGUUCUCCUUUGAAGAUGGCAUCAGCUCCCGCAGAACAAGCGGUCGGAUGCGCUCAGGAAAUGUUUCAGGGAACGCUGCCCUUCGUCCUCCUGGCAGACAGGAGGUGGAAGCUGCUUGGUGGAAAUCAUCAACAAUGUGACCCAUCAGUUGAAGUGAAUCAUCAGCCUGAGCAGGAACCAGCUAGGUGUGUCAAUUCCUCUCUUCCGCUUGGUUAUGUUCUGGGCAGUCCAAUUAAUCUGUUUUAACAAUUAAGCAAAGAAUUUGUUUAAUUCAGAUGAGUGUUUCUCAUUUUGCAAGGGCUUAGUCAUAUCUGGGUGAGAAGCCUGAUCCCAGAUGAUGCUUAAUGUGUUGGUGAUGUGUUUCAGUUGAAGCAGGACCGUGAGCUGGCAGCAUGCAGAGUGCUGGAGAAAUGGUGAGGAGGAAACACCAGGGCUCUGCUUCAAAACCUGUUCCGAGAAGCUAAAACCAGUUUAAUGUUUCUGGGAAAUAACUGGGUCACAGUUUUCCACCUCCAGCUGUGGUGGGUAGGUCUGGACUGUCUCGUACCUCUGGCAGUGGGGGAUGCAGACUCAAGUUAACAUCUUGCUGCUUCAGUAGUCUGUGUCCCCAACCUGCUUGGCUGAGUGACUUCAGAACUAUUGGACUCCACAUGGUGCAACUUUGGAAGAAUCUGACCAAAAAGUGACAAAAGCUGAAAGAUAUUUCCCCUUCUUCCAGACUGGGAGACAAAGACCUGGAGACAUCCAAUUAAAUUUGCAUUCCCAAAUUAACCCAUCAGCACUGCCAGUGGCAAACACCUCCUGGUGCAGGGCCUGGGGGCUUCAGCUGCCUUGGGGUUUUCUCCAGUUCUUGGUGUCUUCUGGGUCAGGAGAGCAGUCUGAUCUCCUCCAGCCCUGCCUGAUUCUUGGAACUUGCACCACUGUCACACUGGGAGGAAGAGGAAUUAAGAUUAAGCUGCUUAGCCUGCAAAGGGAGAGCAGUGCAACUGCACGAAGGGACAGAUGGAGCUUUAAACAUGUCCCAUGGAGUAAAUUACGUAAGUUGUAAUACACCAGAGCUCAUCCUGCUGCAUCAGGGAGAGCACAAUCAGCUGCUGUGUAUAGACCUGAAUUCAUCAAAUUGUCUUCCUUGGCCCCUGGAAAUAACUUCCCACCUCCUGCCUUGGAGCUGCCAUGCAGCUGGGCACCUUCCUGGGCAACCCCAGGGAGCUGCUGACCCAGCACAGGCUGCACAGAACCAGACAGCACCAGGCAGGCUCUGGAUUCCCAGAGUUGUGUUGACAUGUAAAUCAUGUGGAAUUCAUCCCUUGGAUUGAGGGAAUCCUCUGUGAAGCUUUGCUUCCAAAUAUUCUCCAGCAGAUGUCAAGCAUCCAGAGGUAAAUGGCAUUGACAUUGCCCAGGGAGCCACCAAAAGGGUUUUUGGAAAUUCAGGCAAGGACUCAGCAGCAGAUUUACUCAAGGAGCCCAGGAGUGCAGGGCUCCAGGAGUCCAUUUCUGAUGAGACCCAACCCUUAUUUCCCUUAUUUCCUCUUUGAGAAGGAUGGACUCAGCACCACAACCUGUUCCCAUUUCCCCUGUUCCUCCAUCUCAGUUGCCUGAGCACAGCAGGUACUGGUCAGGCUUCCUCUCUCAGUUGAGUGAUUUUCAUUUUCUCUGCUCUGCCCCCAUCAGCAGGGCAGUGGAAAGGGAAGGAUGCAAAACUCUGAAUUUUAUUCCUAUAGCCUGACCAGCUCAACCUGCAAACCAACCCCAGACCAGCUCCAGCACUCACUGGGCAGGUGUCUGCAGGACAAACUCUGUUGCUUCUCCCUCAGAGGGUUCAGAUCUGUGUCUGUCAACCUCCUGCCACCUGCCCCGGGACACAGGAUGCAGAGUUUCACUUUUCUGUGCAAGCUCUGUUGAUUUUCUAACAUAAAUUCUCUUUUAUUUUUGUGUAGCAGAGAUAAGGACAGGCUAGGAGGCAGCUAUUUAGUGAAAGCUUUCAGAAAUGCCUUCUGCAUGACUUCAGUUGUUUUUCCCUCAGACACUGGGAGCAGGGCAAGCCCAACUCUCAGGCAGUUUUCUUCCUUGCUCCCUGUACAUUUCUUUGGACUUGAAAUCCCUGCAGCCCCAUUCCAUGGGGAUCCUCUCCAGGGUGGUGUUUAUGCUGCAGGAGGUUGGGCUCUGGGAGAAGAACUCCUUGUUUACAUUCCUCCAGUUCCCUUUGAGACUGUAGAGAAACUUCAGCUCUGACAGAACCAGCAAGUACCAGUCCCAGUUCUCCUUGGCUCCAGCCACUGUUCUGUCUGUCACCACUGGGGGAAAAAAAAAAUAAUAAAAAAAUUCAACCUCCUCUGUCCCAGUUUCUUUUCUGUCUGCAAAUAAAACUUCCACAUCAAGAGCA